AGAAUAACAAUCUCUGAUGUCUGCUAAUUACAGAAAUACUUCCAGAGCUCUUUCCUUCAUCCUGACAAUGGCCAGAGAAGAGCCACUGAGACUUUAAGCAAGAGAUGGAAAGUUAACAACUAAUCUGGAGGAAGACCCUGGAAGGAGCCAGCCCCUUCCCCCAGGCUGACCUGGUUUAAGCCUUUCUUCUGCCAAGGUCACCAGCACCCCAGAUGGGUGAGAGAUGUGAUCACUGGUUUCGUGGCCUGACCAGGGACCUCCAAGGAGGUAUCUUUCCCAUCUUGGCCCACUGAGGAGGAAAUCCUAGAAGGGAUGACUGAAGCUUGGGACUAACACAUUGGUGGAUCUGUGCUACCCUCUGCUGGCCACAGACGGUAUGACAGCCAAGACAGGGCAAGGCUUCCAGCGGCAAUGGAUGGAUUCACCGCAGAAGCGACAUUUCUGGACUGUUGUCACCUUCAGUGGAGGAGCCUCCUUAAAAACGGAAAACGAGGAGCCGAGGAGCCGGGCGAGGUGGCUCAUGCCUGUAAUCCCAGCACUUUGGGAGGCCAAGGCGGGCAGAUCACGAGAUCAGGAGAUCGAGACCAUCCUGUCUAACACGGUGAAACCUCGUCUCUACUAAAA